AUACCUUUCUCGGCCUUUUGGCUAAGAUCAAGUGUAGUAUCUGUUCUUAUCAGUUUAAUAUCUGAUAUGUGAGUCAUCGACUCACACGAUAUUAAAUUAAUUUUUUUUGGGUGAAAGUUCACUACAGUGGCUUGCCAUUGGAACCUUCGAACGUUGUCAUUGUGUUGCACUAUCGCUUUGACUGGCGUAACUCUA
rfam:Zostera marina strain Finnish scaffold_111, whole genome shotgun sequence.